UAGCCUAGCGGUUAAGGCUAUGGAUCGCCAAUCCGGAGACGGCGGGUUUGAUUCCCGU
rnacentral:tRNA from 1 species